rnacentral:rRNA from 1 species
AUUGAACGCUGGCGGCAGGCCUAACACAUGCAAGUCGAGCGGAGCGGCGGACGGGUGAGUAAUGCAUAGGUAUCUGCCUUGCCGUGGGGGAUAACGUCCGGAAACGGGCGCUAAUAACGCAAACUAUUAGCUGAGCCUUGGUCGGAUUAGCUAGUUGGUGGGGUAAAGGCCUACCAAGGCGACGACCCGUAACUGGUCUGAGAGGAUGAUCAGUCACACUGGAACUGAGACACGGUCCAGACUCCUACGGGAGGCAGCAGUGGGGAAUAUUGGACAAUGGGCGAAAGCCUGAUCCAGCCAUGCCGCGUGUGUGAAGAAGGUCUUCGGAUUGUAAAGCACUUUAAGUUGGGAGGCGUUACCAACAGAAUAAGCACCGGCUAACUUCGUGCCAGCAGCCGCGGUAAUAC